rnacentral:tRNA from 1 species
UCUAAUAUGGCAGAAUAGUGCAAUAAAUUUAAGCUUUAUAUAUGUAAAUUUUAAUUUACUAUUAGAA